rnacentral:rRNA from 1 species
CAGUCGCCGCGGGAAUACGUAGGGUGCAAGCGUUAAUCGGAAUUACUGGGCGUAAAGCGUGCGCAGGCGGUUUUGUAAGACAGAGGUGAAAUCCCCGGGCUCAACCUGGGAACUGCCUUUGUGACUGCAAGGCUGGAGUGCAGCAGAGGGGGAUGGAAUUCCGCGUGUAGCAGUGAAAUGCGUAGAUAUGCGGAGGAACACCGAUGGCGAAGGCAAUCCCCUGGGCCUGCACUGACGCUCAUGCACGAAAGCGUGGGGAGCAAACAGGAUUAGAUACCCGCGUAGUCCCUGUCUCUUAUAC